AGUGAACGCUGGCGGCAGGCCUAAUACAUGCAAGUCGAACGGCAGCACAGUGGAGCUUGCUCCAUGGGUGGCGAGUGGCGGACGGGUGAGGAAUACAUGGGAAUCUGCCCAGUCGUGGGGGAUAACGUAUGGAAACGUACGCUAAUACCGCAUGCGCCCUUCGGGGGAAAGUCGGGGACCGCAAGGCCUGACGCGAUUGGAUGAGCCCAUGUUCGAUUAGCUAGUUGGCGGGGUAACGGCCCACCAAGGCGACGAUCGAUAGCUGGUCUGAGAGGAUGAUCAGCCACACUGGAACUGAGACACGGUCCAGACUCCUACGGGAGGCAGGCAGUCGAGAAUAGUCUACAAUGGCCGGAAGGCUGAUAGUGCGACGCCGCGUGAACGAGGGAGCCCUUCGGGGUGUAAAGUUCUUUUCUAUACGAGCAGUGCUAUAUAUAUGGAUAGUAUAUAUAGAGGAUAGUAGUAUAGGAAUAAGCAA
rnacentral:rRNA from 1 species